UACAGAGGUCUCAAGCGUUGUUCGGAUUCAUUGGGCGUAAAGGGUGCGUAGGUGGCUUGGUAAGUCGGAUGUGAAAUCCCGGGGCUCAACCCCGGAACUGCAUUCGAUACUGCCAGGCUGGAGUACUGGAGAGGAGAUUGGAAUUUACGGUGUAGCAGUGAAAUGCGUAGAUAUCGUAAGGAAGACCAGUGGCGAAGGCGGAUCUCUGGACAGUUCCUGACACUGAGACACGAAGGCCAGGGGAGCAAACGGG
rnacentral:rRNA from 1 species